UCCAGUUUAAGAUGACUUUUAUGGUUUGGCUUUAGAGUUUCAUAUUCUAAAUUCUCUCUCUGCAGGGUAUGAAAUUGAUCGUGGUUGAUUGGUAUAGACUCGUUAGAGGACGAUUUACACUUUCAAGAAGGAUUCGUGAACCAAGAGGGACUAUAGAAGGAGAUUGAGCUUGGAAAUGUAAGGUUUGAUGAAGAAACCAAAAUCAAAAGUCUGCAAUGUGAGAAUUGAUGAUGGGAAAAGACACAUCUACGUGAAGAUCUGAUAUUGUCUUCUCCUUGAUGAUGUUGAACGUCGCAUUUUUUGAUAGCGUCAA